GAUGAACGCUGGCGGCGUGCCUAAUACAUGCAAGUCGAGCGAACAGACGAGGAGCUUGCUCCUUUGACGUUAGCGGCGGACGGGUGAGUAACACGUAGGUAACCUACCUAUAAGACUGGGAUAACUUCGGGAAACCGGAGCUAAUACCGGAUAAUAUUUCGAACCGCAUGGUUCGAUAGUGAAAGAUGGCUUUGCUAUCACUUAUAGAUGGACCUGCGCCGUAUUAGCUAGUUGGUAAGGUAACGGCUUACCAAGGCAACGAUACGUAGCCGACCUGAGAGGGUGAUCGGCCACACUGGAACUGAGACACGGUCCAGACUCCUACGGGAGGCAGCAGUAGGGAAUCUUCCGCAAUGGGCGAAAGCCUGACGGAGCAACGCCGCGUGAGUGAUGAAGGUCUUCGGAUCGUAAAACUCUGUUAUUAGGGAAGAACAAACGUGUAAGUAACUGUGCACGUCUUGACGGUACCUAAUCAGAAAGCCGCGGCUAACUACGUG
rnacentral:rRNA from 1 species